rnacentral:rRNA from 1 species
GAUGAACGCUGGCGGCGUGCCUAAUACAUGCAAGUCGAGCGAACGGACGAGAAGCUUGCUUCUCUGAUGUUAGCGGCGGACGGGUGAGUAACACGUGGAUAACCUACCUAUAAGACUGGGAUAACUUCGGGAAACCGGAGCUAAUACCGGAUAAUAUUUUGAACCGCAUGGUUCAAAAGUGAAAGACGGUCUUGCUGUCACUUAUAGAUGGAUCCGCGCUGCAUUAGCUAGUUGGUAAGGUAACGGCUUACCAAGGCAACGAUGCAUAGCCGACCUGAGAGGGUGAUCGGCCACACUGGAACUGAGACACGGUCCAGACUCCUACGGGAGGCAGCAGUAGGGAAUCUUCCGCAAUGGGCGAAAGCCUGACGGAGCAACGCCGCGUGAGUGAUGAAGGUCUUCGGAUCGUAAAACUCUGUUAUUAGGGAAGAACAUAUGUGUAAGUAACUGUGCACAUCUUGACGGUACCUAAUCAGAAAGCCACGGCUAACUACGUGCCAGCAGCCGCGGUAAUACGUAGGUGGCAAGCGUUAUCCGGAAUUAUUGGGCGUAAAGCGCGCGUAGGCGGUUUUUUAAGUCUGAUGUGAAAGCCCACGGCUUAACCGUGGAGGGUCAUUGGAAACUGGAAAACUUGAGUGCAGAAGAGGAAAGUGGAAUUCCAUGUGUAGCGGUGAAAUGCGCAGAGAUAUGGAGGAACACCAGUGGCGAAGGCGACUUUCUGGUCUGUAACUGACGCUGAUGUGCGAAAGCGUGGGGAUCAAACAGG